rnacentral:rRNA from 1 species
CAGAGGGGAACUAACCCGGACGAAAGUCGGACUAAUACCGCAUAAACAGGGCACCGCAUGGUGAUAUUUGUUAAAGAAAUUCGCUGAUAGAUGGGCAUGCGUUCCGAUUAGGUAGUUGGUGAGGUAACGGCUCACCGAAGCCGACGAGUGGACUAGGGGAACUGAGAGGUUGGUCCCCCACACUGGUACUGAGACACGGACCAGACUCCUACGGGAGGCAGCAGUGAGGAAUAUUGGUCAAUGGGCGAGAGCCUGAACCAGCCAAGUCGCGUUGAAGGAAGAAGGAUCUAUUGGUUCGUAAACUUCUUUUGCAGGGGAAUAAAGUGCGGGACGUGUCCUUGUUUUGUAUGUACCCUGAGAAUAAGGAUCGGCUAACUCCGUGCCAGCCGCAGC